GGGUUUUGCAGUUUAGGUGCGGCCAAGUUUGAUACAGUGACAUUUGAUGACAUAUGGAAGAUAUUUUCAUAAAAAUUUGUAUCAAAACUUAUUACAACGGCACUUAUCCAGCUUGAAGCAACUUUUAUUUUAUAUGCAGAAGAUACUGAUUCUAUAUAGAGAUAAUGGUUUUAGUGAUAAGAGGAGUAUUCAAUUUGAUCUUUACUCUGAAGAUGUAAAACCUGAAGACUAUGGACACUCUGUUCAACGGAAGAUCAUAGCUGAUCUUUCUGCUGCUUUUCAAUGUAGUAUGAUAUUUUCUUCGAAAUCUUCAAAAUUUGCAGCAUGUUCUCGAUAAAUUAUAUUUUAUAAGUGUUCUGCAGCCAGAAAUUACGAAGAUUAAGACUAAAUAAACGAUGUGGCUAGGAGGUAGAAACGCGUCAAUAUUCACUCUGACGAAAUGUCGCAAAAGCUACAAUUCAGUGUGUCUAAUACAGUGGUUCUCAACCGCCGUUCCGCGGAACACUGCUGUUCCGCGAAACUAUUCAAAGUGUUCCGCGAAAUAAUUUAUUAAAUAAUUAAGUAUUAAAUGUUCAAGUAAUCGG
rnacentral:lncRNA from 1 species